AGUACGUGAAACUGCUUAGAGGUUAAGCCCGAUGAACCUGAAUAUCCAUUAUGGAAAAUUCAACAUUAAUAUUAUAAUAUUUAUUUAUAAAUAAUUAUAAAAAUAGUGUGCAAUUUUUCCAUAUAAGGACAUUGUAAUCUGUUAAUGUAAUAAAUAUUUAUCAUAAGAUUCAAUAAAUAAAAGUUUAUUCAAAUUAGUUAUUUUCCGAUUUCUAACAUAGAAUAAAUUUAAUUGAAUUUGAUAAAUCAUUGACAGAUUUAUUUAUAUAUAGUGCUUAAAUUCUUAAUUGAAUUUUACAAUAAUUUAUAAAUGUAUUUUCAUUUAUUUAUUUAUUGUAUGCACUUAUAUGAUUAACAAUGCUAUAGAUUCAGGAUACCUUCGGGACCCGUCUUGAAACACGGACCAAGGAGUCUAACAUAUGUGCAAGUCAUUGGGUAUUUUUAAUAAAACCCAAAGGCAAAAUUAACUUAACUGUUUUAUGGGAUUAGUUUAUAUUUUAUUAUGAAAUAUUAAUUCAAUCCCGGGGCGUUCUAUAUAGUUAUGUAUAAUAAUAUUUAUAUUAUUUAUGCCUCUAACUAGAGCGUACCUUGAGCAUAUAUGCUGUGACCC
rnacentral:rRNA from 1 species